UACUUCUUUUCUGAUGCGCUUCUUGGAAGUUUUGUCGUGAAAAACCGUUGCCCUAGCUUCAUAGGAAGUGUAACUUCCUACCAGCUUUCGAAGUGUUCCCUUCACAAUACGCCAUCAUGUGGCAGCGUCCACCCUCAGAGUGAUUCUAUUGAGAAGCCACCCACUCAGACAUGUGGUAGCAGAGGGUGGCUCUUAUCAUCCACCAGAAUUUUAUGUAAAGUGCUAUCGAUCGUUUAUGAAGGUCCCCAGAACCAGAUAUGGUGAAAACCCAAUAUAUACUGGAAAACCCAAUAUUUUAAUAAAUUGAAUCUCAUCAAAUAUAUAGAUG